rnacentral:rRNA from 1 species
ACAGGGAUUGCCCUAGUAACGGCGAGUGAAGCGGCAACAGCUCAAAUUUGAAAUCUGGCGUCUUUGGCGUCCGAGUUGUAAUUUGCAGAGGGCGCUUUGGCAUUGGCAGCGGUCCAAGUUCCUUGGAACAGGACGUCACAGAGGGUGAGAAUCCCGUACGUGGUCGCUAGCCUUUACCGUGUAAAGCCCCUUCGACGAGUCGAGUUGUUUGGGAAUGCAGCUCUAAAUGGGAGGUAAAUUUCUUCUAAAGCUAAAUACUGGCCAGAGACCGAUAGCGCACAAGUAGAGUGAUCGAAAGAUGAAAAGCACUUUGGAAAGAGAGUUAAAAAGCACGUGAAAUUGUUGAAAGGGAAGCGCUUGCAGCCAGACUUGCCUGUAGUUGCUCAUCCGGGUUUCUACCCGGUGCACUCUUCUAUAGGCAGGCCAGCAUCAGUUUGGGCGGUUGGAUAAAGGUCUCUGUCAUGUACCUCCUUUCGGGGAGAACUUAUAGGGGAGACGACAUGCAACCAGCCUGGACUGAGGUCCGCGCAUCUGCUAGGAUGCUGGCGUAAUGGCUGUAAGCGGCCCGUCUUGAAACACGGACCAAGGAGUCUAACAUCUAUGCGAGUGUUUGGGUGUCAAGCCCGAGCGCGUAAUGAAAGUGAACGGAGGUGGGAACCUUUCGGGGUGCACCAUCGACCGAUCCUGAUGUCUUCGGAUGGAUUUGAGUAAGAGCAUAGCUGUUGGGACCCGAAAGAUGGUGAACUAUGCUUGAAUAGGGUGAAGCCAGAGGAAACUCUGGUGGAGGCUCGCAGCGGUUCUGACGUGCAAAUCGAUCGUCAAAUUUGGGCAUAGGGGCGAAAGACUAAUCGAACUAUCUAGUAGCUGGUC